UACGAAGGGGCUAGCGUUGCUCGGAAUCACUGGGCGUAAAGCGCACGUAGGCGGAUUGUUAAGUCAGGGGUGAAAUCCUGGAGCUCAACUCCAGAACUGCCUUGAUACUGGCGAUCUCGAGUCCGGGAGAGGUGAGUGGAACUGCGAGUGUAGAGGUGAAAUUCGUAGAUAUUCGCAAGAACACCAGUGGCGAAGGCGGCUCACUGGCCCGGUACUGACGCUGAGGUGCGGAAAGCGU
rnacentral:rRNA from 1 species